UAGGGAAUCUUCGGCAAUGGACGAAAGUCUGACCGAGCAACGCUGCGCGAGUGAAGAAGGUUUUCGGAUCGUAAAACUCUGUUGUUAGAGAAGAACAAGGACGUUAGUAACUGAACGUCCCCUGACGGUAUCUAACCAGAAAGCCACGGCUAACUACGUGCCAGCAGCCGCGGUAAUACGUAGGUGGCAAGCGUUGUCCGGAUUUAUUGGGCGUAAAGCGAGCGCAGGCGGUUUCUUAAGUCUGAUGUGAAAGCCCCCGGCUCAACCGGGGAGGGUCAUUGGAAACUGGGAAACUUGAGUGCAGAAGAGGAGAGUGGAAUUCCAUGUGUAGCGGUGAAAUGCGUAGAUAUAUGGAGGAACACCAGUGGCGAAGGCGGCUCUCUGGUCUGUAACUGACGCUGAGGCUCGAAAGCGUGGGGAGCAAACAGG
rnacentral:rRNA from 1 species